rnacentral:lncRNA from 1 species
GAGCCACGAAAGGAUGAACACACAAUUUUUUAUUCAUUUAAUUAUUAAUUGUGAAAAUCCAUUCACAAGUUCACCCAAAGCUGUUACAAUAUUUGAACUAAUAGUAAUUCAAUCUUUGUGGCAGUUUGUGUUACACUCACCCUCGCUCACAUAGCAAGCGCUGUUUCCAACGCUACAACAAUAACAAUGAUCUCCACGCGGUCCUGCGCAGUCAAUGGUUUUGUAGCAGAAUGCACCAAUUCUCGUAACAUCCAUAGUUGAUCGGCCUAAUUUUCAAGCAUGAAAGUUAAUCCGGUUAAGGUUUAGAUAGAAAUGAUGAUAUAGAAUAAGCAUUAUAAGACAAUGUCAUGAAACGACUGCACUCAUUAGUGUCCGUCUCAUCAACUAAUACGGUGUGGACUUAAUUACAAGAAACAGAGAUAUAUUGUAACCAUAUGGCUUUCUGAACCGACAAGGUAGAAAUAUUAUCAGAUACUCGUUAACUUUUGGUUACAAUGGAAGCAGCAUUAUUAUUGAUUUGACUUACUUUCACCAUGAAUGGCAAUGCAUCCGAGAAGCAGCAACGAAAUCAACACUAGUGCCCCAAUGUUCCUUGACUGCCUCUCCAUACUGUAGACAACGAAAUGCUUUUUGUUCUUGGGAGAAUAUAUAUGUUCUGCUCGAGUGAUAUACAGU